UUCCAAGUGUGCUCCUGACUGUGAGGAUCCUGCAGUCAUUGAGCCAACUCAUUCCACCUGUGCUGCUGAAAGCAGGAUUCCUGCUGACAUAGAACCAAGUACUUCACAAUGUGCUCCUGACAGUCCUGCUCCUUCUGAUAUUGGUGAGGAACCCAGUCCUGUUGCUGACCCAGAUGAAGAUAUAGCUGAGGAUUUUUAUGAUGCUUUAGAGUCAUCUGAUCACACUGGCCAUAGCGGGUCCACUGUCCAGGUACCUGGUUUUCUUUGGGAACCAGAUAUGCUACUGCUGCCGGUAAUGCCCUUGAUGUGGUUUCUUACAUUCCUGUUAUCAAUGAUGAUGUGGAUUAGAAACGGAAUUCGCAAGUGUGCUACGAAGAAAAUGGCCAAGGACCUCCCUCCAUGAGAGAUGCCGCUGGAGCUGAACACUCCAACACACACUGAUAUAUGAAGACAAAGUGUGUGAGGAGGAAGUUUAUUAUGUGUAUGUAAAUAUAAAAAUUUUAUAUAUAAAUAAAAUGUUUUAU